rnacentral:rRNA from 1 species
UGCCCACUGAUAUAGAAUUAAAGGGCUGCAGUAAUUUGACUGUACAAAGGUAGCAUAAUCAUUAGUCAUUUAAUUGAUGACUUGUAUGAAAGAUUGGAUGAAAUAUAGACUGUCUUAAUUUUAAAUUAUAUAAUUUAAUUUUUUAGUUAAAAAGCUAAAAUAUUAUAAAAAGACGAGAAGACCCUAUAGAGUUUAAUUAAAUUAAUAAAUUAAUAAAUUUUUUAUUAGUUAAAAUUUGAAUUUAUAAUUUAAUUUUGUUGGGGUGAUAAAAAAAUUUAAUAAACUUUUUUUUAUUAUUUUACAUAGAUAGGUGAAUAAUUGAUCCAAUUAUAUUGAUUAAAAGAAAAAAUUACCUUAGGGAUAACAGCGUAAUUUUUUUUUUUAGUUCAUAUAAAAAAUAAAGUUUGCGACCUCGAUGUUGGAUUAAGAUAAAAUUUAAAUGUAGAAGUUUAAAGUUUUGA